GCCAGGGUGGCAUAAUGGUCAGUGCAUCUGCCUAGAGAGCAGGAGACCCGGGUUCAAAUCCUGGCCUUGGUA